CAUGCAUAUAAGUAGAACAAUUAUUUAUCUGUAGCACGAGUGUACAACGUACAGUAUGUGUAGUACUCCCUCCGUCCCGAAAUUCAUGUCGUGCGUGCAGUACAGUUGUUGUUUUGCAAAAAACACCUCGUAAAUCUAAAACAGUAGCAAACAGGUUCUUGACUCCUUCUGCUUCCUCCGUCCGGUGCCCGCGUGUCGCCAGGGGCCGGCGUCGUGGGAUUCCUCCGCCGUGCUGGAGAUUCCGGCGCUCGCAGCCCACCCUCAACCAGCUCCCCGCCGAUUCCGCCGCCCACCGCUCCGCGACCACCAGGCGAGCUGGUCCUCGAUCCGCAAGGACCCGCCGGCGCCUAGCUGCGCAAUUCCGCCACUUCGCUGACUUUCCGCCCAACUGCACGACCAGCCACUGCGGCGCCGCCCACCUGCACCGCAGACAACCUCCUCGAUUAUACCGUGAUCCUUCCCCGCGCCCCGUCUCUGCUUCUGGGAGACUACAAUCGCCGGCACAGUCUCUCCUUCCCCGUCGGCUCUGCUGCUGAGGUAGUCCUUCCCCGUCGGCACAGUCUCUCCUUCCCCGCCGGCUCUGCUGCUGAGGUAGUCCUUCCCCGCCGGCUCCUUCCUCGCUGCCGACGCCUACUGUUGCUUCUGCUUCGACCACCUGCAACUGGAGCUCUAGGCGAUGUCGGCCUUGAGGUGCUGGGCGAUGGUGCAAUGGCUGAACAGGAGUGGACCAUGUCUUCUACCUUCUGGCGACGGUGACACGGGGUGGACGGCGACGUCGUCUUGCUGGUGAAGGACAUGCGGCGUGGCGGGGUCGCCAGCCGAGGAUGAUGCGAAAGGGACGGGGUGGGGCUGCGGGGGGAAGGGAUGAGGUCGACGGAGGCUAGCCGGCGAGGAGGUGAUCCACGACACGUAGGGGAACCAGGCGGCGGCAAAAAUCAAACCUUGCGCUUGCUCUGUUUUGGCAGGGGAAUGAGGCGCUGGCGUGGGGAGACGAGGCGGCGACGUGGUGCAGCGGAGAGGUGGGUGGUGGAGCAAGGUGGCAUGGGGCGUGGGAUGGAUGGGGGAGGCAGCGCCGUCGCCGGCGUUGGGGAGCGAUGAAGAGAGCGAGGAAUGAGAAGGGGUGGACUGCGGGUUUGGUCGGGACAAUUCGAAGGACUAAAAUGCAAAAACGCCAUCGCGACAAGAAUUACGAGACGGAGGGAGUACUAUGGUGUAUAGUGGCGGAGCACCUUUUCUGGUUGUUUGAAUUUUGAAGGGACAUGUUUACUUACCUUAAAGGAAGCAACACAAGAUA